GCUAUAAAUUGCAGUCGAGCGAGCUUGCCUAGAUGAUUUUAGUGCUUGCACUAAAUGAAACUAGAUACAAGCGAGCGGUGGACGGGUGAGUAACACGUGGGUAACCUGCCCAAGAGACUGGGAUAACACCUGGAAACAGAUGCUAAUACCGGAUAACAACACUAGACGCAUGUCUAGAGUUUGAAAGAUGGUUCUGCUAUCACUCUUGGAUGGACCUGCGGUGCAUUAGCUAGUUGGUAAGGUAACGGCUUACCAAGGCAAUGAUGCAUAGCCGAGUUGAGAGACUGAUCGGCCACAUUGGGACUGAGACACGGCCCAAACUCCUACGGGAGGCAGCAGUAGGGAAUCUUCCACAAUGGACGAAAGUCUGAUGGAGCAACGCCGCGUGAGUGAAGAAGGGUUUCGGCUCGUAAAGCUCUGUUGGUAGUGAAGAAAGAUAGAGGUAGUAACUGGCCUUUAUUUGACGGUAAUUACUUAGAAAGUCACGGCUAACUACGUGCCAGCAGCCGCGGUAAUACGUAGGUGGCAAGCGUUGUCCGGAUUUAUUGGGCGUAAAGCGAGUGCAGGCGGUUCAAUAAGUCUGAUGUGAAAGCCUUCGGCUCAACCGGAGAAUUGCAUCAGAAACUGUUGAACUUGAGUGCAGAAGAGGAGAGUGGAACUCCAUGUGUAGCGGUGGAAUGCGUAGAUAUAUGGAAGAACACCAGUGGCGAAGGCGGCUCUCUGGUCUGCAACUGACGCUGAGGCUCGAAA
rnacentral:rRNA from 1 species